AACGAGACCUUAACCUGCUAAAUAUCCAGGUUGACUUUUGGCGGCCGCCGGCUUCUUAGAGGGGCUUUUGGCUCAAGCCAAUAGAAGUGCGAGACAAUAACAGAUCUGUGAUACGCUUAGAUGUUCUCGGCCGCGCGCGCGCUACACUGACAGAGCCAGCGAGUACAUCUCCUUGGCCGAAAGGUCUGGGUAAUCUUGUGAAACUCU
rnacentral:rRNA from 1 species